rnacentral:lncRNA from 1 species
GUACCAUGUAAUGCCGUUGGGGCAGCCUCCACCAGGCCUCUGUCCUCAGCACUUUGUGGAGCCUAUUUUCCUGUCUGUCUGACUUCUGCUGUCCUUUUCGAGGAGCUGGUGGCCACCUGCCGGCCCAUCAGCCUGCCUCAGCUGCAGGCCCGGUGCUAUGCUGGCUGCCUCAGCUGCAGGCCCGGUGCUAUGCUGGCUCAGGAGCAGAAUGUACACUGGUCGGGUAGGUUGUCAACAGGCUCUCCUUCCACCUGGAGUCCUUGUCCUGCCUCCAUGCCCUGGCACCACCCAAUGGCCUGGCAGGUGUGUCUACAUUCACUGGGAAAGGGCUUGCCAGGCUUCUCCUCUGUCUCCUGCUCCUUUAGCUCCUUCCUACAAGAUGGACUGAACUUUGCUGAAAACGUGGACAUUUCUGACCCUGAAGACACAGGAACCUUAGAAUAAAGAGGCACAGCAAGGAGAAUGUCAGUUUUUGUUUAGGAAUGCCCUAAAGAAGCUUAGAUGAUGGAAACGGUUCUUACUCCUCCAUGAAAGGCUGGAAACUGGGGAAAGAGAAAGAGGGGCUGGCCCUUCACAAGAACUUAAAAACUUCAGGAAUCAGUCCUCUCCAUGGACAGAUGGGACAGUCCCCUGUUCCCAGUGUUCUACUGUCCACUUCUUCCUGUCCAGAAGGAUCAUCCUGCUUGUUGAAUCCUGGCAUGUUCCACAUAGCUGACCUACACUGGGAGCUGGGCUAAGGACAGGUAGCUAUUGGCUUCUGGGUUUCUUCCCUGCUUAUCCUUAUAGAAGCUGAAACUUCAAGGCCUGGGCCUAUGCAGACAGGAGGAAGCUGAGCUUUGUAUUGGCAUCUCUGCUACUGUGGACCCAUGGCACCUGGCCUUGGGAGCAGAGGGCAGCUGCUGCCUUUGGGCCUUCAGCCUCUGAGGCAGAGACUUUGUCAGCACCACGAAUUGUGCUUGCAGCAGACAUCUCAAGUUUCCAGCAUCCCUUCCCUUGUGCCCCCAUGUGUUUGCUGUCAGAGUCCUGCCCAGAAUUGCUGCAGUGUUACAGGAUCCCUUGCAGGGUCUCCUCACAGCCCCUCACUGUGCCAGACUGAGGAAGAACAGCUUUAUUGACAGGCCUCAUUACUGAGCGCUUCCCUCCCUCAGCGUCUCCUGGCUCAGGGCUCUCAGGCUGUAGAGCCAGCCAAAGGCUGCCUGGCCUCAGAGAGGAAAGGGCCCCCACAAAGGAAGGCCAAGGCAGUUAAGUAUCCCCCUUCCUCAAGAGAACUAGCCAGCAGGUGGCCAGUCCUGACUGGUUUGGGUUGUGUGCUGAGGCCCCAGCCCCGCAUCCUCUCCCUUUUCAGUCAAUGGUGAUCAUGUGAUUUUCAUUUCUGCCCUGUGUAGUCAAGGAAGAGUCUUCCAGAAGGUUCUGACUUGGGCAUUCAUAAAUCCAACUCAAAGACCUCUCGACCUGUCUCCCUUCAGUCCCAUAAUUAUUGCAGUGUCCAGCCCAGUGUUGAACAAAUUGUAGUGUGUAGUCUCAUUACAAAUAAAUAGUCUUUCACUAGUCUCAUCCUGUCUCUAGUUGUUGGCUCUCCACACUGUGCUUUGCCCUUGUGGGCUAGGGCUGAGGGUUGGGAGCUUGCUGCUGUCUUGACGGCUCAGCAUGCAGGCAACUGUCCUGCUUAGGGCUGUGAACUUGAAGGCUUCUGCUGCUGAAAGCAUUAACUGGCCCAUUUCUUAAAGGUCCUUAGCCCUGGCACCAGCACUGGCAGCUUUCAGCUUGGAGUUAGAGCCUGGUCCAAAUGGGCAACUUUAUAUUUCUCUUCUCCAACCCCCCUGUCCUCCGCCUGCUGAUAAAGCUUAGGGAAGGCUUCAAGGGUAAUGAAGUCACAUGGUCAGCAGAGGCCUUGGUCAUGUUCACAACCAGUGUGGGAAUGUCCCUGGUGGAUGUUGACGUUGUCUGCAGACAGUUAAUUUAGGUGGUCACAGCCUGGGGGAAGGCAUUACUGGGAGGCUGCAGAACAUCACAAUAAAGACUUGGUCCAAGUACCUGAA